rnacentral:rRNA from 1 species
AAGAUAAGACGGAUUAGCGGCGGACGGGUGAGUAACACGUGAGUAACCUGCCUUUACACAGGGAUAGCCUCGGGAAACCGGGAUUAAAACCUGAUGAAACUAUCAAAUCACAUGAUUAAGAAAGUUAAAACUCCGGUGGUAAAAGAUGGACUCGCGUCCCAUUAGCUAGUUGGUGAAGGUAACGGCCCACCAAGGCAACGAUGGGUAGCCGGCCUGAGAGGGUGAACGGCCACAUUGGAACUGAGAAACGGUCCAAACUCCUACGGGAGGCAGCAGUU